rnacentral:piRNA from 1 species
UCCUUCACAAGUAUGUCAUAAGAGCCAGG